rnacentral:lncRNA from 1 species
UUGAAAAGCAAUAACACAAUAUAAUAGGAUUAUGAAUUUACUGAAAAGUGCGGAAAUAACAAAAUAUAUGAAAUAGUCCCACUAGGACCCGGUGUCACAAAUUUGAGCCUCUAGAAUACAUAAUGUCGUACCAAUACAAAGUCACUCUAAGAUGAAAGUGCGAAAAAUAAGAGAUAGGGAUGGAAGGGAGAAAGUCAAUGGUUGCGAAUGUCGUACAACUAUCUUGACACUCCCGGAAAAGUUAUAUCUGUUGAACUAUUGGAUCUACUCAGCCUGAUACUGCUCUGGAUCUGCACACAAAGUGCAGGGAGUAAAAUGAGUACUCCAACACAGUGAGUAAUAAAAGUAAAUAUAGUCCGAAGAUAGGAAAACACAGAAAUACCUAAGAUAAGCUAAAAUCCAAUAAUACAGUGACAUGUGAAACUUAGCAGCCGAACAACAAGUAAAGGUGCAAAUGUAUGAAUGCAAUGCAUAUGAUGGUACAAUCCAGUACCCACUGCGGUGUCAAGCCCGAUCUAUUUAUUUAUCAUCGACGGCGCUCACUAAGGGUAUGUACAGACUCCGGAGGGGCUCAUACAGCCCAAACGCAAUGUUACUGCGGCGCGCAGCCCAAUCCAUGCUUGUCUCAAUAUAAUAUUAUUGUGGCACGUAGCCCGAUCCAUGCACAGUCAAGAAAUCAUCAUAAGCCCUAUGGGCAUUUAUAAACUAGUAGUUUUCAGCCCGGAAUUUCAUUUAAAAUAUGAUUUGAGUUUCAAAACUUAGAAAAUAUGGUUGAGUUUGCAAAAUAGUGUUUAAAGGCUGUGGACUGAGCCAAAUGAUAUGCAAGCGUAUGCAGAAACAACAAUAUUAAUCCCCGACGGAUUCUACAAGUCGCCACGAGGCCCCAAACAUGGAAACAAGACCAAUAAUAUCAGUACAGUAUUGUGUAUCAAUCACAAAUAUAAUGUAGAUCUCACUCGAGAUGGACCAAGUCACAAUUCCUAAUAGUAACCGACACCGCACUCAUCAUAGAGUGUGUGUCACGCCCCAAUAUAGCAUAACAAUAUGAAAGUUUGGGGUUUCAAACGCUCAGAAUAACAUUUACAAGCAUUGCUCACCUCUAGCCGGCCGAAGACUAGCCCACAAUGCCCUUUCCACUCAAAUCGACCUCCUCGCACGUCGAAUCUGGCCAAAACCACAACAAAUACAUUACAAUAGGCUAAGGGAAUAUAACCCAAUCGAAAAGGCUCAAAAAAUAUCGAAAUUUGCAAAAUUAGCAAAACCCGACCCCAGAGCCCACUUCCCGAAAUCCAAAAUAUUUUACACCAAAAUGUUCCUCAUCUCGCCACGAGUCUAUACAUCAAAAAUUCAUCUAAUCCCAAAUUUUUAUUUCAAAAACUAAGCCCUAGUUCUUCAGAUUUUUACCCAAAUUUCCAAGAAUUUAAGGUUGAUUUCUCAAUAAAAUAAUGUUUCUAAGUAACGAGACUCACCUCCAAUAAAUUCCCGUUGAAACCCUCUUCAAUCUCUACCAAAAAGCACCCAAGGUGCUAAAAAAUGGAGGAAAAAUAAAUAGGCUCGCGAAUGAAAUUUCAUUAAAAAGCCUUCUGUACAGAUGUAAAUCCUUCUAUGCGAACGUGAGGGUCCUCUCGCGUUCGCGAUGACCAAAUUCCACUUUACCACUAUUUCCCCUUCGUGAGCGCGUCUGCACAACCGCGAACGUGAAGCUUCAGAUCUCAGACCCUACGCGAACGCCUCUCCACCUAUGCGAACGCGAAGCACCGCCAAGCGACCUUCCGCGAACGCGAGCCGCUAAACGCGAACGCGAAGGCCAAAUUCCCCGCCCUCACAUUUCCUCUACGCGCUCGCGACAUCACCCACACGAAUGCGAAGGGCAUUCCUCUACAACACCAACAGCUGAAAAUUUGCUAUCUUUUAAGCCCAAAUUUGGUGUGCUUUACCACCCGAAAUCGCCCCGAGACCCCCGGGAUCUCAACCAAAAGCACGAACACGUCCUAAAACCUCAUUCAAAUUUGUUCCAAUACUAAAAACACAUCCAACAACACAAAAAUCAUCAAAUCACAGCUGAUUCAAGCCUAAGUUAAACUAAAACUUUUGAAACUCGCAUUCGAUCAAAAACUCGACCGAAACACGUCCGAAUCAAAUAAAAUUUUGUAUACACAUCCAAAAUUACGAAGCUACUGCAACUCUCGAAAUUCCAUUCCGACUCUCGGAUCAAAAUUUCGCAUUUCAACCGAAUUUCGCCAAAAUUCUAACUUUGUCAAAAUAGGCUAACUUAUACACGAACCUCCAAAUUCACUUCCGAUUGCGCUCUUAAGCCUUAAAUCAUCUUCCAAAACUAACCGAAUCAUCAAAAAUCCAUUCCGAGCCCUCUAACUCACAAGCUAACAUCCGGCUGACAAUUCCAAGCCAAACUUUCCCUAAAGAGACUAAUUGUCUCAUUUCCAACAAAAGUUUGUCUGAAUUACUUCAAAUUCACCAAACACAUAUAAUAAAACAUGUAGGAGCAUAAAACGAGAAAAACAUGAGGGAAAUACAUGAGACGACGGGUCGGAUCGUCGCACAUAGAUAAUGAAUAAGCAGCAUCCGCUAUGAUGUCCCGUAAGAGAAAGCAAGUCUACCACUCUCUGCAAAUGUUCUUUCUGCAGAUGUAUAGAAAUGCUUCACAACUUUGAAAAUAAUAACAAAUUAGAAAGAAAAAAAAUUGGUACAAAGAUGACGCUCACCUGUGCUGCUAAAAGGAACUCUUUCCUAAUAACCUGCAAAAGCCGAAAUGCAAGAUUAAAUUUUCACAUAGAGAAGGACAGGAGACAUCUCACAACAGCAGCCUAAUAAUCGAAAGAUUAAAUUUUUUUGUGUUUCCUUACACAACUACUGAAUCAUUCACAUGUAAGAGUUAUAUCACUUAAUAAAUGGAACCGAAAUCGAAAUGAUAAUAUUUUAGAUUUAAAGUGCUUUUUUAAUAUUUAAAAAAAGUUAUAUUUUUAUAUAUUUCGCAGUAAAUUACUGCAAUUGAUUGUUUUUUAAAAUACAAUUCGCAAUAAACUACUGCGAAUUCCCGUUAAACGAGGUGUCUAUAUUUUGCAGUAAAUUACUGCGAUUUAGGCUAAUUCGCAGUAAUUUACUGCGAAAUAGCCAUUUAAAUAUAAAGGUCGUCUUCCUCUUUCAACGGAGUCCACCAUUUUUAUAAAAAUCAAAAUCUUUCUGGUUCCCCCCCCCCCCCCCCCCCCCCCCCCCNNNNNNNNNNNNNNNNNNNNNNNNNNNNNNNNNNNNNNNNNNNNNNNNNNNNNNNNNNNNNNNNNNCACGUCGUUAUAUUAAAAAAAAUUCGGCCGCACCCGGACUAAUUAACAAGGAGUAUAGGUCCCACACACUGUUAGUUGAUUUCGAUUGCGUAUUUCGGGUUCAAAAUUUCGAAUUACAAAAAUUUACAUCGAGGUAUUUCUAUUUACUUUAUGACGAAACUCGUGUAUUUAUGCAUAUUAUUAUUGUUUAGUAGUUUACAUGUGAAUUUAUAUUAUCUUUGUGAUCUUUAAUAUACCCGAAUUGAUUUAUUUGAUACUCGAAUUUAUGUAUUAUAUUUGAUUUAUAAACCUGAAAUCAUGUUAUUUUUUGUUAUAAAUAUAGAGCCUUGUAAUGUAGUAAAAUAUAGUGACUUGUAGCGUAAUAAAAUAUAGCCUUUUAGCAAAAUAAAAUAUAGUCUUUUAUCGUAGUAAAAAUGUAGAACUUUUAAGAGCCUUGUACCAUAGUAAAAUAUAGAGCAUUGUAGCGUAGCAAGGAUAACCCGGUGCUACGGGGCCUAUAAAAUGGAGCUUUGAACCCAUACAUAAUUAUUCUCUGCAAAUCAGUAAUUUAUAAUUAGCUAAGAAAAUUGUAAAAAUAUUGAACUUGAGAAUUGUAAUAAUUAACGAUAACUCGGUGCUACCGGACCAAAAAAAAUGAAAUUCGAACCCAUACAUAAUUAUUAUUUCCAUUUGGAAAAAUUAAGUCUGGAACUCAUAUAUAAUUAUUCUCUCCAAUAAUAAUUAUAAUUUUUAAUUUAAAUCUGUAAGGUAAGAAAAUUCUAAAAAUGUUGAACCCAUAUAUAAUUCGGUGGUACCGGACUGUUUAAAUCAAGUCUGGAGCACCUAGAUGACUAUUUUCUCCGAUAUUAAUCAUAAUUAAUUGUUUAAUUUAUUAAAGUAACACAAAUAGUAUAUCACAACCACAAACAUUGACAAUCAAAAAUAAAAACAAACAGUAGAACUAACGAAAUAAGUUGACAAAAGAAACAUGAAGAUUGACUAACGCAAACACUAAACAUGUCAUUCUUAGGAACUACCAGGUAGUAUUCUCUCCUUAAUCAAAAACAACUUCUUUUCAAUCUUCUUUUUCUCUUUUCCCACCUCCUCUAUUUUCGCCUUCAAUUCUUCAAUUUCUUGCUUGGAUUGGCGCGCUCUAUCCCAUUGCCUCGUACACACUCCAUGAAGAUAGUACUACUUGUCUCUGUAGUAUUCCUGGUCACAUGGUUUAUCAAUCCAUACCUUAAAGUUGCAUAUAGGUACGUCGGGCUGCCAAUGAAACUUGUUCAAACAACCCCAAUAGCUUCGGUCAGCUUCUUCCCAAUCACUAAACAUUAUGGUCUUAACUCCACACUCGCAAUUCGGGGCACGAAGGGGGCGGUGAGAUAUUUCUUUCAGAAAACUUUUGGUAUAUUGAAUUACUCGAUGAUAGGUUAUUGUUAAGUGUUGAAUAUAACCUGAAGGCGCUUUUUAUUAAUAGGGACUAAGUCCCAACAAUACAUAGUAUUAUGCUAUGAAUUCCAUGCAUAUUUUUCGGGGAAAAACAACUUUUUUUACAUGGGUUUGAACCUUUUUCAAAAUGACAUGACAACUCAACAAUACGUAGUAUUAUAUUACGAAUUUGGUACACAUUUUUCGUGGAAAAAAUAGCUUUUUUCUACAUGGAUUUGAACCUUUUCAAAAUGACAUGACAACUAAACAACACGUAGUAUUAUACUACGAAUUCCUUGCACAUUUUUCGGGGAAAAAUAGCUUUUUUCUACAUGGGUUUGAACCUUUUCAAAAUGACAUGACAACUCAACAAUACGUAAUAUUAUACUACGAAUUCCUUGCACCUUUUCGCGCUUGUUCUUACAACCCCAGUAGUGGCGUCCACCUUCUGGCCACCAUUCAUACAAGAGACAUGGUUCUCCACAAUAGCACCUUCGAACAUAAAUGGGUUGUGAAGAUAUUUCGUAAAGAGAUAUUUUGGUUAUUGAUAAGUGAAAAAAACACGUAGCGUGCAACCGUUAUUUAUAGUCAACAUUUCAUACAAUAUGCAGUAAUAUACUGCGAAUUAGUUUAAAAUAACCUUUUACCGUAUUAAAAAUUGAGGCUAGAACCCAUACACAAUUCCAUUAUUAAUCCUAAUUUUUAAUUUAAUUAUAUUUAAUUUAUUAAACUAACACAACCAAUUAAUUUUGUUUGGAUUAUAUUAGACGUCAUGGCCUUUCCUCCACCUGCGCAUCCCGGACCUGUAGAGGUUUAGCUAUUAGUGCUACAUGGCGACCAUAGGUCCUCCUAGGUGUGGGAGGGACAGUUGUCAAAGCAGCCUCUCCGGCCUAGGAGACCUGAUGAUCUUUGGGAGUUUAUUGUCGGUCAUCUUUUGCACGAGCGUUUAGUACACAUCCUUCAGAUACAGGAUUAUAUCACAUUUUUUAGCUAGGGGGGAUGCAGCUAGAUUGGUCGCUUAUCACGGCCUUGAUAGAGCGGUGGCAAAUGGAGAUGCAUACAUUUCAUUUACCCACAGGCGAGGCUACUAUCACCUUAGAGGAUGUCCAGGUUUUAUACGGACUAUGUAUAGACGGACGCUCCUUGACACUGCCCCACUGCAUUAGAGGAGCGUCACGUGCACAGGUUGGCAGAGCUGAUGUGGCAGUGGACUGGACUUAGACCUGAGGGUCAGCAGGGGGCGUUCGCGUUGCUUUAUCACAAACAGUACAUCACAAACACUAACAUAGACAACCUAAAAUAAAAACAAAGAGUAUACCUAACGAAAUCACUUGACAAAGAAAACAUGAAUAUUUCAUACAAUACGCAAUAUUAUACUGCGAUUUACGUAUUCAAUUAUAAUUAAAAAAGUUGCUUUUUCCACAUGCGAUUUUCAGCUUUUCCAGGAAGACAUGAUAACACAAUAAUACGUAGUAUUUAACUGCGAAUUAAAUAUUUAUAUUUUCACAUGCUUUUCAAACACAAACAAGAUUAAUAUUGAAACAACCAUAUCAAAAUAUAACAUUAAAAAAUAAGAUGAAAAUUGGAAUAUUCUUUUAUUUCAUUAAAUUGAAACUAACGAAAGUACAAACACCGGGAUUACCACCGUCUCGCACAUUGGCUUAGGACAUUUACGACGGUCGUAUCCUGUUUGCGAGCAUAUGCCACAUUUACGCGCAUAAACUGUGUCACCAACAUCCAUUUGGUUUCGUAUGCACGAUCUCUUUUUCACUUGCAACUUGUCCAAAUAGUCCUUGUUACAUACCAUCAUAAAAGAUUCUGGCGGCCAAUAAUGCUCAGCACCUAAUUGCUGCAACUUUUCACUAUAUUUGUCUACAUAUGCAGCAACACUGAAUUGCCUAUCAAUAUAGUUUGUUGCCUCAUAUCCAACUUGCUGAAAGUACUUCAACGCAUGCGCGCACGACAUGUAGUAGAUGGUCCAUUUUUCACACAAACACAACCUUCUAUUUUUAUUCUCCGUAUGCAGAUUAUUCCCACGAUGUCCGCUGAUGGAUGUAUUAGCUUCAAAAAUACCUCGUUCAUGAUCGUACUGAAGAAAUGAAUGCCACUGUGCUCGCCUCCUCGACUUUUCAAAUCUUCUCAUGGGUAUUGGCAUAAGUUCAACACUCCGGUCCAUCAAUGCUGAGGCAGCUGCAUGCCUUUCAACAAACCUCUCCGCACUCUAUUUGAGUAUCAUGCGAACCAUGACAGUGACAGGCAGUCCACGGGUAGAUUUCAGCAAGCCGUUGAAUGACUCUGACAUAUUUGUAGUCAACGCUUCCCAUUGUCUGCCGCUAUCAGCAUGCAAUGUCCACAUGUGAAGCUCAUGCCCCAUCAACCAACUGUAGGCUCUUGGUUCUAUAUGCCAGAUCGCUUCCAUGCGCCUACUGGAUUUGCAUUGAUGGUGCUCAGUUGCAGCCAUCCACAUUAACUCAUGCAAGGUCUUGUCAGAAAAUUUCUUCUAAAAAUUGGCCUUCAGGUGCCGUACACAGUAACGGUUAUAUGCAUAUGGUUCCUUCCAUGCAGGCAAGUGACGCACAGAACUUAAAAUACCACCAUGUCGAUCAGAUAUUAGACAAAUACUUGAACGUUGUUUGACAACGUGCUCCUUCAAGUGGUUCAAAAAAAGGGUCCACGUCUCUUUGCUUUCGUUGGCACAUAUGGCAAAGGAUAGUGGAAAUAUUUGUCUGUUGGCAUCUACAGUAACUGCAAUUAAAAGCUUAAUAUCAUACUUUCCGUAGACAUGGAUACCGUCUAUGGAAAUAACAGGACGACAAUGCACAAAACCAUCAAUUGAUGGUUUAAAUGACCAGAACACAUAGUUGAAAAUAUAUUCCAUUAUUCCUGGACUCCGCUCAUGCCUGCAUUCAACAACAGUCAUGGGGUUAAAGUGUUUCAGUGCUGCCAUGUACCUGGGUAGAGAUGAAAAUGAUUCUCGGGUCUGUCCGGACUCCGCUCACACCUUCAUUCAACAACAGUGUCGGGGUUAAAGUGUUGCAAUGCGUUCAUAUACCUGGGCAGAUUUGAAAAAGACUUAUCCAAGUUGCCAUAAACAAGUUCAGAGGCACAUUUGCGAGCGCGAUAUGCCCUUAUUUUAGUUACAUUACAACCAUACUCCUUAUGGACGGCUGCGAUACACUCUUUAAUCUUGAACCUAACGGACACUUCCAAAUAUGGAAUCAAGACAAGAGAAAUUAAGUCGACACCCAAGAUGAAGUGAUUCUCAUUGUAUAUGUCCAUUUCACAUUUGUGCUCGCUAAUAAAUUUACCCGCUUUCCACAUGCCUCAUCUCUUCUUGGUGGCACGCAACAUCCAGUGACAGCCCAUAAAAAUCUAUGGCAUACAGCCUUUCAUUUAUCCGUAGUUGACUCAACUACAGUCAUGUCACGGCACUCUAUUAUGCUGUAGAUUUUUAUAGCCCUAAUUAGGCGAGCUUUAUCGGGGAAAUACAUGCCCUUAGUCAGAACAGAUGGCCUGGACUCAUCCCACAUUUGUGACCGAAAUUCAUCAUCAUCCCUUGUGAAGGCAUCCACGUUCGGUAUGCUUGGAAAAUUAUCAAGGUAGGGGAUCAAAAUUCAUCAUCUUCUCUUGCGAGGGCAUCCACGUCCGGCGUGCUUGGCAAAUUAUCAAGGUAGGGGAUAUUCCGCUCAUGAAAUGGAACAUGGGACUCGUACACUCUAGGUCGCACGGGAGGUGGAGGAACAUGCUCCCUCGCCGGUUCAGGUUCAACAUUCACUUCCUCCUCGUCAUCACCAACCUCAAAAAGGAAGGGUGUGUCAUCCUCAGACUCAUCCGCAUUAUUGUCGUAGUCACUAUCAUCUUCCUGACUCUGCGCAUCACCCAAAUCAUGAGUGAAUACGUCGUCUAUUGGAAGUUGUGUUAGGUCAAGAGCUUCAAGAAGCUGGUUUUCACUACACAAAAAGAACAAAAGAUAAGUUACCUAAUACUUCGGAAAAAUAUUUUAGAUAUAGCUAUAUCACUUUACUUACAAGUCGUAUUGUCUUGACAAUUCUUGUUGGUGAUGACUCCCGGAUGGACCACCGUGAUCCAACACUCCAAAACUAGGAAUAUCCCAAGUUGUGGUCGGCUCAUAACUCGUAAAAUUCAUAUCCGGACGGUACCCCCUAUGAAAAAUAUGACCAUUAAUACAAAUCAAAUUCUAAUGUAAAAUAAACCACGCAAAACUAUAGCAAAAUUGAAGUUUACCAGUUCUCUUGUUGAUUAUAUAAACUUGAUAAAUUAUUUUGUGUUUGCUCAUUUGCUUGUGGUGACAAGUUUAAAUCAAUGCAAGCUCUUUCUUCACCAAUCUGUCCGGCAAUAAUUGCUCCAGAAUAAUCACCCGAUGACUGGGGGCUAUCCAUGCUACGCACACCCUCUUCCAACUUAACGUACAUUUCCAGUAAUUUUAUUACUAUAAAUUCCAUGUAUUCCUCUAGAGUCCGCAAAAAAUCUCAAAGAGUAUCAUCGUCAUCGAUGUUAUACUCCGAAUAAUAAGCAAACCUCUGCGAAGUCACUGAAUACAAAAAUCUACCGGUUACUUUGAAGUUAACCGAACGCCCCAUGUCACUCUUUUUUUACGUAACAACGGCACCAAUGUAUCGUACUCCAUAUUAAGCGGUAAUUUAACCUGAUACUGUGGAGGUGAAUUGUACCUCACAGAGUUAUUCUCCAGCACAACCUCACCACCCAAAUAUAAAGAAACCUUUAUUUUUUGCACUUCAGACAUUGUAAAAAAGAUUGAUAAGAAGAAGAGAGAAGUUUAUUGAAUGAAUGUUCAUCAAAAUCAAACGCCUAUAAAUAAGGGAAGUUCGAGCGAAUUUUUCAAAUGAAUUCGCAAUAAAAUACUGCGUUUUAUAAUUUUGAAUUAUGUUGUUGUGUCAGUUAAAUAAUCAUGUGGGACCAAAAAGGGGACAAUUCGCAGUAAAUUACUGCGAUUUGCUAAUUUGCAGUAAUUUACUGCGAGUUGUCCCUUUUUUGGCCUGAACAGGUAAUUAAUAAAAAUAAAAAUAUAAUGGAAUUCCCAGUAAUUUACUGCGAAUUGUAUUUUUAAAAAAAAUUUAAUCAAUUCGCAGUAAAAUACUCCAAAUUAGGUUAACGGAAAAAAUUCCGUUAACCUAAUUCGCAGUAAUUUACUGCGAAAUAUGUAAAAAUAUAACAUUUUUUAAACAUUUAAAAACACUUUGAGUCCAAAAAAUUAUCAUUUCGGUUUCGGACUCCUUAAUAAAUGGGGGGAUGUCGAAGAAGCGAAAUAUACGAGAUCACAAACGUAGAUUGCUCGCGGCUAAAUAUGAAUUGAGACGAAAGCUUUAUAAAGCCCUUUGUAAAGAUCCCGAUCUUCCUAGUGAUAUGCGGGACAAACAUCGUUAUAAGUUGUCCAAGUUGCCAAGAAAGAGUUCCUUUGCACGAGUAAGAAACCGAUGUAUUUACACGGGUCGCCCUCGUUCUGUAUAUGAUAAAAAUUUCUCGUAUCCUUUUUCGUGGAUUAGCAUCUCGAGGUCCUUUGAUGGGCAUAAAGAAAUCGUCUUGGUAGCAACCACCAAACCAAUAGAACAAGGGUUAGCUCCGCAGCAGGUCUACAAGCAAGGUAAGUAGGUCCAUUACCAGCCGGCUCCGGACCGAAAAGACCUAACGGACUAAUCCCUUAUAUUUUAGAAGUUGAACAUGCUCAAAAGAUGCCUAAAGCUUUUAGUUUUGAUCAUUCGACGUCGAGUAUGCCUGAGAUUGCCAGAAGAACUUCCCCCUCUUGAAAACUAAUUAAUCAAACAAAGGGGGUAACUUUUUUUUUAUGAGGGUAGGGAGUUUGGGUUGGUGUGAAGUGUACCGCACUUUGGGUACAAGAUCGGAAAUUCCAUUCUCUUUUUAACCAUCUAAAAUCGAAGAAAAGAAAGAAGGGCGAGGUAAACAAAUAAAGAGCUAACUUUCUUUAAACUUUCUUUAUUAUUAUGUAAGAUUAUAAGGUUCAAAAUUAAUCGGCGCAGGAGCUGCUACAAUUGCUUCAGCGGGAGCUGCUGCCGGUAUUGGAAAUGUUUUCAGUUCCUUAAUUCUGUUGCGAGAAGAGCUGCUACAGUUGCUUCAACGAGAGCUGCUGCCGGUAUUGAAAAUGUUUUCAUUUCCUUAAUUCUGUUGCGAGAAAUCAAUUUUUAGGUUAUGCUAUUUUGGGAUUUGCUUUAACCGAAGCUAUCAAUCAUUCUUUCUAUCGGAACCUUUGAGACAGUAGAAGUCUGACCUUCCCAUUUUCAUCUAUCGGAGUCUCGUCCUGAACACACAAGGAAGGCAGGUUUGUCAAUGCUUGAACUGAUUGAUCUAAGUGAGCUACGAGGUUAGUCUUCUAGGCCUCUUCAUUUCAUUUUAGGAAGAAGAAGAAAGGCAAUCAAGAACAAAUGAUGUUGAAGAAAAUUUCUAGAUUAUAAAUACAGCUUUAUAUGACAAUUCAAUAGGAUACGAAAAAUAAAGUUGAAAAUCAAAGCUCUGUUUUCGUCAAAAAAUGAAAGAUCUGUAGUAUUUUGAAUGCAUAGAGAAGUCCAAAGUGGUAGAAAUAGCAUUCGCCAUUGCCAGACAACAGUUAAAGGGUCUGAAAAUAAGCAAUAAACAUAUAAUCUUCUUGAAAUUUAAAGAGAAAACCUCUGGAGUUGUAGUAUCUGUUCUCAACAUCAAAGUCAUGUUCAUCGGGCACCUCGUCUGAGCACACGAACCCAUAUUCCUUAUCUGAAUCUACCAAACACACAAAAAUCGGAUAAAAACUGCAAAUUAAACAUAAUACUAACCAAAAAGUUACUGAGUAAAUUACCAGAACCAACUAUUGGCUGACUUGAGAUGAGCAGGAAUCAAAAACAAAACAAAAGUGAAAUUUUGAUCUGUGAAAGAAGAGAAUCUUCAGUUUCUCGCUCCAAAGUUUCGCAAACCUUUCCUCAUCUUGCUAUUGUGUGGUGAUGAACCAAUGGGGGAAUUUUGAGAACCCCGAAACUUUGAUGGAAAAAGAGAGUGUGUUAAGGUUUGUUUACAGAUUGUUUGGAUGGUUGUUACACG